rnacentral:lncRNA from 1 species
ACAAACGGGCGGGUAGGAUAACCCGCGGGCGAGUUGUCGUACCCGCGGGUUACUUGGGCAUGGAUAAAAUUUACCCGUAAAUUUUUGGGUAGCCAACAUUUUUACCCAUACCCGCCCGCGGGUGGGCGGAUGGAUAUGCGGGUUACCAGCAAUUUUUUUUUCUUUUUUUCUUUUAUAUUUUUUAAAUACAAAUACAUAUAUAUAAGUUUUAAAAAUAUAACAUAAUUCAUUAUUUAAAACAUCAUAACAUAUAAUAAAAAUAUUUAACGUCUUAAAAUUAAAAACUUUGGUAAUAUAAAAGACGCGAUAAGAAAUUAGAGUUAGAAUUUUUAGAAUGAAUAAAUAAAAAUAUAUAUAUUUUUUAAUUAAAAAAUAUAUUUUUUAAUUAAAAAAUAUAUUUGCAAUGUCCACAGCUUAAUGGGUAUCCAUCUAUUUUAUUCGUAAUUUUUUGGGUUUGAAAAGUUGGUACCUAUACCCGCAAAUUUACGAAUAAUCCGUCCGCACCCGCGGAUAUGGGUCGAGAUUGCCAGGUCUACAUUUUUUAGUUUUUCUAUAUCUACAAU